CAUGUAUAAUUAGUUAACUUUACAGAAGAUGGAACCAAAAAUAUACAAACAUGCAGAAAAUAGAGAAACAACAUUUUGAGCAUAAGACCCAUUACUUUACAGCUUACACCAAGUAUCCUUCAAUGUAUACCUGAAAAUAUUUAAAAUAUAAAAAUUAGAAAAAUAUGUGAGUCAAAAUAAAACUGUAAAUCCGAAACAUAAGAACCCUUACGUUACUUUAUGAACAACGCAACGCUUUGAAAGACCUCCUCACCUUAUAUUAUAGAUUCCAGUACUCAGACCUAAUAAAAGUUUUGAGAAAAGAUAUCACUACCUGAUUCUCAACCUUCAUAUGCUUUGAGAAAAGCUUGGCAGCAUGACAUUCUUUAGUCAAAGGUCGCAAACCCCUGCAGUAGCAAAAGAAACAUGAUACACAAACUACUCAAUUUGACUAUUGUCAUAAGUUUCUCUAUCCCAUUUUCUCUGCCUGAAGUAAUUACUUUAGAAUUAUGAAUAAACUGAUAUUAAUGAGAAUGUUCGACUGUGCUAUUCUCCAUUAAGACUCGGUUCAAAUCUUUAGCCUUUGUUUGAAUUUCUGGAUCCUAAGACAAAGUCUCACACACUCAUUUUAAUUGGUUUACAUAAUUAAAGAAAUUAUUUUUCCUAUUGAUCAUAGAAAAGAAUGCAUGAUGGAGAUGGAGAUGGAGAUAUAAAUGACAUCAAAACGACCAAUUUCUUCUAGGAGUCGGUGUAUACCUAAUGCUAAGCUUGAAAAAAAAAAUUCCAUGAAAAAGAAAUCUACAAUACUAAUCUGCAAAAAUAAAUGUAUACCAAAAAACAAUCUAUAAUUAUGAAAGUGAUCCAAAUUUUCACUUAACUCAAUAUGAAAGCAAAUAGCUUAAUUUUUUUUAAAGUAAAUCAUGAUUCAUUGGCUAACUAAUAAUUCAUAUAAGGUUAUAAUUUCUCCUUUACUUCCAGAACUCGCAAUUUCUUGUUUUCUCUUUUAUAUUAUAAGACAAUGAGUGCACAAAAAAACCACCCUCACCAAAAAAAGACACAAAUAAGCACUUCAAAAAGAGUAUAAAUAAGUUAUGUUCCGGGAAUAUUUAUUUCAACAGUAAAUCAAGAUGGCUCAAGUUAGGAUAGGUUGUUUCAAUAUGUUCAAGGACUAAAUGCUACUCUUGGGCUCAAUGUGACCUUAAAAUUUAAGGUUAAUAUCAAUAGUACUCGUGGGACAGUAAAUUUGAGACUUGAUUCGGGCUCAAGUGGUUACUAUAAAUAUGUUCAAAAUAUUAUUUAAUAACGCCACCGCCUUCUCAUCUCCGGUAGCUAUAACUACGACAGCUCGUAAUAUUGGACUUGCGGACUGUUUUCCAUUCCCAAGCGUCUAAGAGCAAAUCUAAUCAGGUACUUUUCAGUUUUUAAUCUCUCUCAAAAUGACAAUAUUAGGUGCUGUCAAUUAGUUUUGAAAUUAGGGUAUUGAAAAUUUGAAUUAGAAACAUCCCAGUUCGAGGGUUUUGAUUUUGAUAUGAAUUUUGAUAUUGGGUAGGAAAAAUGUUAAUAAAAAAUCCUAAUUUCAAGAUUACUAAAAGAGUAGACUAAAGGUACGUCAUACAUUAAAACUAACAAAUGAAGAGCAUUUCAAAUCAAGAAAGAAGUUUGCUGAUUGUUUGGAACGUAACAAAAGUCAUGAACCGAUUACCUGACCUAAGUUGUAAAACAUUAAAAAAGGUAGUAAUAUUUACACUGAGUCCAACAACACCUCCGGAUAUACGAUAUUUGUCGUGGUAGAUGAUCCAUUAGGAGGGAGAAGGACACUGAUACGAUCAGCCGACGUGCACCUAGACAUGGCCACAUACAGGUGACCGUGGCUGAAUACAGGCAAGCGCAGAUCUACACCAACAAACUUGACUGACUGGCCUUGCGACUUAUUGAUUGUCAUAGCAUAUGUUAAGCGUACUGGGAAUUGGCGUCUAGUCAUUUGAAAUGGUAAAUCUUUGGAUGACGGUGAUAAUGAUAUCCGCGGGAUGAAACACAGAUUAGAAGAUUUGUCACCAGUUAGAAUUCUAGCCUCAAUAACCCGUGAUGCGCACUUGACAACCAUUAGUCUGGUCCCAUUAUAGAGUCCAUCUUUCGGGGCUAUAUUCCUCAACAAUAUGAUGGGGCACCCGACCUUUAGCUCCAACUUGAAAGGCGGUAAACCUGGCGGGUUUAGAGAAUUUAGAAACUCACUUGGAUAUUGAUUAGUGGUAGAACGACAGAGUUCGUCCCCAUCUGACACCUUGUCAGCUACCAAGUAGGUAUACGUCUCGCGAGGAUGAGUUUGUAGAGCAGCAUCAUUGAUGGUGCAGACAUCAUCAUUCCGAGCAGAAAGAAUUGUGCGCUCAGUUAAGUAGGAUGGGGUUACCACACUGAGCACAUCUAGUUGUGGAUAAACUCUGGAAAUUAGUUCAUGCAGAGUUCGACACCCGUGUAUCGUUGGAGGAAGUUCCACAGUAUCUUGCGUACUGAUCCCAAUCUAAGUAUGAUGUGAAAUAUAUCAGUACAUAUAAAUGAAUAAUUAAAUGAAUAAUCUGUAAUAUAAAUCACCUCUUCCAAGAAGGAUGCGUGAGAAGAAUUUGUAGGAUGAUUGCUAUUCAGACGCAUGUUUAUGCUCAAAGUCAAUACGCACACACUCGUCCACAUUGCAGAAUGUCUUAAAGAUGCACCAACAAUUUGUUCUCGACGACCCUUAGGUAUCACCGGUAGUAUUUGUCGGAAAUCCCCGCCAAGCACAAUCGUGAUACCACUGAAUGGUCGGUUAUCAUCACGGACGUCACGAAGUGUGCGAUCAACUGCCUCAACACCAUGUCGAUGCUGCAUGGGAACUUCGUCCCAUAUUAUCAAGCGAGCCUCCCUAAAUAAUUCCCCAUGCGGUGACUGUUUGCUGAAACCACAUACCGAGCUUUCUAUGAUAUCGAAUGGAAUGCAAAAUGUAGAAUGAGCUGUCCGACCGCCUAAUAACAACAACGAUGCAAUUCCUGAUGAAGCAACUGUAAUGACGAUAUGACCCUCGCUGCGCAUUUUAGUGGUGAUGGUGUUGUACAAAAAGGUUUUCCCAGUUCCUGCACCUCCACUGAGGAAAAACAUUUUGCCCUGAUUUUCAGCAACGGAGAUAGUGAUAGCAUCAUAAGCCGUACGUUGAGCAUUAUUUAAAACAUCAAUAUUCAAAAGGUCAUUCAGUUGAUUAGCUUCAUUUCGUAGUUGCAUAUGAUCGAUCAACAAUCUAUUACCUGAAACAGAACUCCAAUUUUGAACAGGGUGUGGCAUAGGUGGGAAGUCAUCCAAUUUUUUGCCAGAUUCAUGUAGCAACUGAUCAAUCAAAUAUAAACCGUAAUCUUCGAUUUGAGACUGUGUUGGAUCGUAUAUGCCAAAAGUUGUUUGUAGCUUGUGACGAAGAUCAUCACAUAUAUGGACGGAGAAUUGAUUCCACAGAGUGCAUGGUUGUAUUGGGGAGCAUUCUACCAGAAUGAUGCAGAAUAGUCUCCGUAACUGGUAUCCCGUAUUCAUGGUUGAAGCCUCCUGGAGGCAUUGUACCCACUCUGCAUCAUCUUCCAGGAGCCCCAUAGCUACACACGCUGAUUUAAAACUAUCAUGAAACACACCAUUGAUCGUGCGUAGACCAUCAAAAGAAUGCGGUCCUCUGACAACUGUUAAUAGCAAUCGAAGGUAAAAUCGCUCCCCAGAAUUGGGCGUAGCAAAGUAUAAUCUGCCAAUUGCAAACCCACUCUGUCUCGGAGUCCAAAUCUUCCGACCUUUGUUCCAAACGAAAUGUUGGGGAAAUUCUUGGUAUGUGUAGGCACGUGCAACAUCAUUUGAAGAACAACAGUCAAAGAAUCCAGUCAGAGUUGUGAUUUGACUCCUAGACCCAAGUCUUAUUGUUUCAAGUGUUUUAGUAGGAUCGUAAACAACUUGAUGCAUCCCAGGUAAAUGUAGAUCUAGCCGUACAACCGAAGGAAUUUCUUCAUGAAGAGGAUAACCGAAGAGUCGCCAUGCAGCCUCUGUCGGUCCAAUAUACCUUGCAUCAAGGUAUUGCUUUAUCUCAUUGUUUCCAUCUGGUCCCUCUAAAACCAUAGUUGUGCGGUCAUGACCUUUGUAAAUGUACUUGUGGAUAUAUUUGACGCACCUCAUUCCUGCACAGACCUCCACAUUUAUAUGACAGUUGAACUUUCUUGAUAGGUGUGGAUUGUAAGGUACGAUGUCUCGAUUAUCAAACGUAUGCCCUCUGGUGGUGUAAGACUGGCCAUUACGGCGACGACGGUAAACAGGGUACCCAUGUUCAUCCAUAGUAGUCGAAUCUGCAAAGGCUUUUGGAUAAUGGAACCGGCAUGCACCGUUAACCAUGCAAGUUGAAUAAGGGUUUCGAGAACCAUAGGGACCAUGAACCAUACAACUCUUGAUUGUUUCGUACAGAGUUGGAUCAAUGGAUGGAUCUGGGAAUUCAGCACUAACUAACCGAUCCACUUGUGCAGUUGUCUGAAUCUUGUCAGGGCCAUGAAGAAAGAAUAAAGCAUGCAUAUGUGGUAACCCUCGUUUUUGGAACUCAAUGGUGAAUACAUGAGCAACUUUUCGACCAAAAAUCUGUUCAUUUUUUACCUCAUGCAUUAGGGCACGCUGUUUUAACUCAAAUACAUGGGCAACUAUGUCUGGACGAUCCAAAGAGGUUUGGUGUUCUAGUAAGGCAGCUGUUAUUUCGGGCCAUUUUGGGUUGGCCGUCAUAGUGAGAAAGAUGUCAGGGUGUUGGUGGUACCUUGUAAUGGCCAUAGAGUCAUGACAAAUUUGGCUCAUGUUACGUGCACUCCUAGUAAAGGACGAUGGCAGAACAAAGCGUUGUCCGAUCUGAUCGGGGCCCAACUCAUCAACACUACCGUCACAUAAAUUUGCAUAAAUCUCACGACGCAACUUAUCCUGAUUGAGUCUGAUGUAAGACAACCUGUUUUUCUCCUGAUGCCCAAGCAUCUACUAUAAACUCUUGAAAUAACUUUCCUCCUAUAAGAAUCGUCGAAUACUCGGUGGGACGUGGAAACAUACGAUAGCUGUAAAAUUGCAUCUGUGUCAUCCUUCUUACUGCAAAAUCAUUUUGUUCGGAGUUCCACUGUCGUAGACCAGGUUCCCAACCAAGCUCACCAGUAGGGAAUAAAAGUACAUAGUGUAAUGGUAAAUAUGCUGGAUGACACUCAUUGAUCUGGCUCAGGGCUCUAUUAUCUUCUUUUAGGUGCAGAACAAUAUCCCGCAUACCACUACUCUCACUACCAUCACCAGGCAAAAUCACAGCUAUUUCAUAUGUGGUUGGAAGAUUGUACCGAUGCCUAUCAGUUGAUGAGGUGUAAUGAAGGUGAGCAUGUAAAUCAUGAUCUGAAGAUUCUAACUCAGUUAGUAUUUCAUGGGCACGUUUGUACUUUGAAGCAAAAUGAUUGACUGGCAACAAACAAUUUUGUAUAGUAUGGAGGACAUCUCGACAUAAGUUAUUAUUCUGCGCACACCGAAUAUUUAAUGCAGUGGUUGGGUCAUAUAUGUACAACUGACAGUAGAUGGGUGCGCGACCAUCCGGGGGUAACAAUGACCCGGUACGAUGUCGUAAUUCUCCAUAGAUAGUGAAUGAUGUUGGCCCUCUUGAGUUGAGUAAUCUGUCAUCAAGCUUAACACCCAAGCUCGUGAAAGCAUUAGCUGCAUUGUACUCCCUAAUAUGCCGACGAAAUGAUUUUGCUUGACCAUCAUGGCUAUCGUAAAAUGCACGAAUAGGAGGUAGGGGUGCAAUGAGUUCCGGUAACUUAAUUUUGCCUUGUAGACAACAUGUUCCGAAUCUUGGAUUAGACAAUCCUGUGUGAGACAAUCGUUCAUCCCGCCAAUGUAAGGCUGAACAAUAAGGACACUGAAUAUUCAUAGGCCCGAGAAAAUGACACUCAUUAUUGACAGGGACAAUAAUAUUCAUUUCGUCAUCACUAAACAUACAGUCAACAUCGCUAAAGGGUUCUGGUGGGAAUCUACAAAUAAAAAAUAAUAUGUACACAAAUAUGAGAAGUAAGAAAAUAGUAGGCAACUAAUAAACUAUGUAGAAUAUACAUACAUUGUUAGAUCUGCCAGAACAGGAGACGACGUCAAGAGGACAUUGUCGUUAGUUUGAUGAGAAUGCGGUUCUACAUCGGGGACAACUUCAUAUUGAGCAAAGUCUAUCGUUAAAUUUCGAGGCGAGGAUAAAGGUCGCACCAGAACAGGUGAGAAUAGAGCAAAGUCAGUUGGAAUAAAAAUUGGGUCGGACGCAAUUGUAGGUGUUAGAUAGCAUUCCAAAUUAUUUGUCCGCGACCUUUUUUGUGGAAGGUGUGUGAUAGUGGCUCGGUGCAAUGGAGUUAGGUCUUGCAAAACAUGACAUAACGGUUGUGGGGGAGUGUAAAUCACCGGCAUUUUCCUAUGCAACUAUCCAACAGGGGAAAAAGACAAUAUAUUACAACUUAAUCAAAAAACUUACCAAAGAGGUAGACAUAUUUUCUUUUCCAUUUUUCCGACAAAUAGUGGGCGUGUGACAUACUUUCGACGUUGAAGGUGCAUUAUGAUUGCUAAUAAUUCGUGUUUCCCGCACAAGUACACAUUCAUUUUGGCGUUGCAGAUAGUUAGUAAAUGACAAUAGUAAAUGUACCUCGACCUUGCACAACUGAGUAGGUGAAUGCGAGGGGACUGCAGUAACCAUGUUAGGAAGUUGGACUUGGGUGGUGUCUUUGGGUAGAGGUUGAGUGUAAUUCCCAGAUUGCUCUCUUUCUCGACGUGCGCGCUAUGAUAGCUUACGUCUCGAGCACACACUACUAUCAAUGCAAUUUCGUUCACGUCUGGCGCGUUGGGCCUUAAUUUUAGAGGAAGCGAAAUUUGACGCGGGAGUCUAAAAUAGGAAGUGAUGUGUUGAAUAUGUUCAAUUUAUGAUAGGAACAAAAAAAUUAAGAAAAUUAAAUAAGAAUCUAUAAUAUGUAAGAAUGACUAAAGAAACCAUUACAUAAUUUGGACAAUAUGUUAGCAGGUCCAAAAUCAAAUUCAUGUAAGAAUAGAGUCGUGUGUGCGUGAGAGAGAUGUGUAUAUCACCGACAAUAUAGUGUAUAUCGCUCUAACCAAAAUAAGGCAUUAGGUUAUCAUGUCCAAAAAGCAUUAAUUUUUAAAAUCAAAUUCAUAAUAAUACCACAACACAACAAUUCAACUCGAUGAUGGUAUGGUUUCGUCUGUGCGUGAGAGAAAAGGCUAAGGGUGAGAGUGAGACUGAGGGGUAAGGAACUAAAAAAUAUCAACGAUAAUUUAGUGUAUAAUGCUCUAACCGAUUUUUAUCAACAGAUAAACAAUGAUUAGUACAACAUACCGGUUGAUUAAACCAAUUUUCUUUUCCAAUAGAACAACCAAUCUUUGUUUUCCCUUUCGUUGAAGAUGGAAUAAAACUUGAGUUGUUCAAGUGAUUCACAUGUGAAUUCUCCUAGGAAGUACAAAAUAAGACAUUAGUCAAAAAAUGCAAACUAAUAUCAAAAUGAAUUUUUUUAACAAUACCAGUAGCGUUACCUUAUCCAUAUGUAAUUGAUUAGACGCACAGGUAUGUUGUUACUAUCACUUAGAUCAACCUGUAAGAGCAAACUUAAUAAAUUAAACAUGAGUUAAACAUGAACAAAUGAAGAUGCAAAGACAGAGACAUUCAAUACUAUUGUUUUGAAGAUAGUUGAGGUUAUAAACUAUUGAAGACAUUGAAUAUUAAUUUACUACUGUUGGGUAUAAGGAUCCUUUGGCAAUAAGAAUAUGUAAACAGUCAUUUUCCAUUCUUUACUUCUUUCUUUUUCUUGUUUUUCACCCAAUUAAUGAAGCCUCUUUGUGUUCUUUCUUUCGAUUAUUUUGAACAAAAACUCCAUUAACAACCUAUAUCAAAAAUGUAGCACAUGAAAUAGGAGCAAUAUAAAGAAUAGGAGCAAUUUAAAAAUGUAGCACAUGAAUUUUUGAUAUUUUCACAUGGUCCCUGUCACAUGAAGGUGGAACCUACUUUCUUCUCAUGUGAGGGGAUUAUGUAGAAAUAUCAAGAACACAUGCAAAAAUAUCAGUAUUAUUAUAAUUUUGAUUGUAUUUGUAAAUAGUUAGUAUGUUAAGAAUAAUUCAAAGAAUAGGAUGACAUAGUGUUUCCUUCUAUUACAUGCUAGUAAUCUUAUUGUAUCACAUUCGCAAAGGAAAGGUAGCUUAAAAGAAAAAUGGGUUAGCAUUAUUAUCAAGUUUUGAAGCUAAUAGAUUGAUAUGAUCUUUUAAGUUUAUCCAUGGUAAAAAGUGCUUAAAGGUAACUUUUAAUCAACAUUAAUAUUCAUUAGUUAUUGUAAACAAAUAUAAUACAACACAAUACAAAACAGAUAGUGUAAUUUCAUAGCUUAAAGAUCAUUAGUUAUUGUAAACAAAUAAAAAUAAAAAUUUAAUUUCACAAAAAGUUCAAAUAAAGGUCUUCCAUCUUCAUUCCUAUCCCACAUCUUCUAGAUUUUCAAUUAAUAUUAACUCAAUAUUCAACCUUUCAUAAAAUUCAAAAAAUGCAAAGAAAUUAUCAAAUGUAAUUAAAACAAAAGUAACUUAAAGUGGAGUUCAGAAAUUAAAGCAAAUUAAGAGAUGCUAAUGUAUUUUUCAUAAUAUUAAGACCAAACAAAAUGGAAACUUCCUUUUUCUUUAUUAAUGUUGUGAGUGAUUACAUGCUGUCGAAUUAAUGAUCAUUUGGUUCAUCGAUAACUCAUUUUUAUUGGCAUAGAGGUCGAGAAUUAGAUUCUCGUUAAAAUUAUGUUACAAAGAAAAGUUCAACAAAUGCAUGUCCAGGAGGCAGUCGUGCACUUUAAAAAUUGAAAACAGUAACUUAGCGUGAAAGUUACUAACGAUAACCCGUAAGUGUUUAUAUACUAACGAUAACCCGUGCAUGAAGGCACUAUAUAAUCAGUGUUUGCCUAAGAAUAUGGACACACACUAAACUAAUUGCAGUUGGUCCAAUCAGUGUUUGCCUUAUUCUAGCAGCUCUUUAUCAUAUUGCUUCCUAUUAUGUUAGUUUUUACCUCGGUACCAAUAUCUCCAACGGAGGAAAGCCUUCUCCCUGAACCUCAAACACAAGAUUUGAGUAAAACUAAGCACAAUGUAAAUGAGAAAACCUCAUAAAUAGAUUCACUGACCUAACCAGUAUCCUUUAAUUCUUCAUGGCAUACACCAGUUCUCAUUUAAGGUAGCUUUCAAUGUAUCUAAACAAACAUGAGGGAGAUAGAAAAAAGAUAAAAAAUGCACAUGGUGAGUAAAGCUUAAUAGAGAAAUUCCACUAUGAUUCUCACAAAAAGAUCAAAAGCAGAAGCAGGAUAUUCCACUAUGGUGAGUAAAGCUUAAAUUUUUAGCUGUUUAUAAUCAUUUUUAUUUGGGCUUUCAUUCAUUUUCAUCCAAUAUGUCAUAUGAUAAAGUUCCUUUUACUCAUUUUCAUCCAAUGUGUUAAUUUCAAGUGGAGUUUCGGUGCAGCCAAAGCAGAAAACUGGGUUAGUACAAGGAGGGUCUCAAUUCCAUUAAUGGAAUUCUCCCGCACAGUCUUUACAGGGAAUGCAAGCAAUGGGAAUGAUAGGAUCUUUUAACUUAGGCUCACAAAUGUUAGAAGCAAUGGGAAUGAUGUGAUCUUUUAACUUAGGCUCACAAAUGUUAGGAAAUGGGUCACUCACGUAUGCACAACAGCGUAUGAAUCAAGGACAAAUGAGGCAGCAAGGCCUCAUUUUUGGUCAAACCAGACACUAUAAAGUGUAGCUUGUCACUUAUGAGGGCAUCCAAACAUUUAAGCAAAGUUACUCAGUGUUCAAUGGUGAAUGGUGAAUUUUCUAACCUGAGUAAUAUCGAGCUCAAUGGUGAAUUUCCUGUGCAAGAAUUUUGAGAUUGGGUUUAAUGGAUGAAGGCACUAUAUGUCCUGUGAAAAAUGGUGAAUUUCCUGUGCAAAAUAGAGUUACUCAAUGUUAAUUUUUUUUUAAAGUAAAAUAAAAUAGUCACACCCAAUCUCUCCUACCCCCACCCUCUCUAUUUUUUUUGUUUACCUAAAGUUUAGAGGGCAAAGUUUGGACUAUAGUUGACACUUUACAUUUCUUACAUUUGUUGUUUCAUCAUUAGUUGCUGCUGAAACUGUAAACAACCCAAAACAUUAGUUUCUCAACCCAAAACUGUAAACUGGUUAGCUUGAUGUAAUUUGGCACAUCGACGUGCAUCACAACUACUAAUAUUACUGCUACUGCUGCUACUAAUUUUUAUCUAAUAAACACAUCAAAACUACCAACACAUUGCAAGCAUGAAUUUUGUAGCUUACAUUUAAGCUAGUGUUAUAAUUACCAAUAGAAAAGACCAUAACAAUAGCUAAAUAGUUCAUUAAAACGUAAUCAAAUAGCAUUCUGGAAAUAUUUCAAUGG
rnacentral:lncRNA from 1 species